UAGAAGGCAUGUAUUCAUAAAAAAAUUUUAGAGUCAGAAGAUUGUCACUACACAUAAUCCAUUUGACAUCAGUAGGCUUUCCUUACUAUAAUACUUGCAAUUCCCUUCUUAAAGCCUCCAUUUGGUCAUCUAAAGGGGAAUAUUUCUAGAAUAGGGGCAUCACUAAAGGAUUUCUUCCAUAAUAGUUUUUAUUUCUACCUAAGUGGGAA
rnacentral:lncRNA from 1 species